GAUGAACGCUGGCGGCGUGCCUAAUACAUGCAAGUCGAGCGAAUGGAUUAAGAGCUUGCUCUUAUGAAGUUAGCGGCGGACGGGUGAGUAACACGUGGGUAACCUGCCCAUAAGACUGGGAUAACUCCGGGAAACCGGGGCUAAUACCGGAUAACAUUUUGAACCGCAUGGUUCGAACUUGAAAGGCGGCUUCGGCUGUCACUUAUGGAUGGACCCGCGUCGCAUUAGCUAGGUGGUGAGGUAACGGCUCACCAAGGCAACGAUGCGUAGCCGACCUGAGAGGGUGAUCGGCCACACUGGGACUGAGACACGGCCCAGACUCCUACGGGAGGCAGCAGUAGGGAAUCUUCCGCAAUGGACGAAAGUCUGACGGAGCAACGCCGCGUGAGUGAUGAAGGCUUUCGGGUCGUAAAACUCUGUUGUUAGGGAAGAACAAGUGCUAGUUGAAUAAGCUGGCACCUUGACGGUACCUAACCAGAAAGCCACGGCUAACUACGUGCCAGCAGCCGCCGCGG
rnacentral:rRNA from 1 species